rnacentral:lncRNA from 1 species
CUCCGCCGGGGCUGUCCGCUCCCCCCUCCGGACGGAUACGGGGCGAGGCGGGGGGCGGCCAGGCCCCGCGGGGCCGUCACCGCACCCACCCCACCCCCUCCUGGAAAGAAGGGAGAGAGAUAACGGACACCCCGCAGGGUGUGCUCAGGGCCGAGGUGCAGGAGAUGGGUGAAAUCAAAUACGCCCGGAGGGCGCGGGGCUGCAGCCCCACCUGAGCUCCCAGCGCACCUGGGCACGGCCCGGCACGGCUGUGCGAGGCUGUCCCGCCCAGAGCAGCCCCGUAGUCACCCCCGCGCACACCUCGGCCUUAAGGACAGGAGACCCCCGGUGCCUGUGGGUCUGCCACGAAAGUCCCGGCGCUCAGCGAGCCGCCACGUGUGUUCGAACACGGACAAGUCGCCUCUUUUGCCCCCUGCCCCUCCAAAAGCGCAGUUUGCCCAACUUCUCUGCUUCUUCAUUUGCUGCGUCUCAGUCUUUAGCGUGGGAGAACCUGGAGAGGGACAGCCUGGGCUGCGCGUGGCGUGGGAUUAGCGGUAGCCCCGAGGAAGGCUGUACACGGGUUUAGAUUAGGAUAAAGCGUUUAUUGAUCGUUGCCUAGAGAUGCCCACUGCCGAAACGCUGAGUUCCUUCGCCCCUUCUCUUCGCUCUGCCUUCCUCCUCCUCCCCGCAAACCAAACUUAAAGUGAAAAGAAAAAAAAAAAAAAAAAAAGCACUGCGCUCUGCCAUUUCAGUCUAAACUCUUGGGUCCAUGUGCGAAAGAUAAAAAUGAAUUUGAAUCGCCAUUGGAAAAAAUCAGGAAUUGUAUGAGAUUUGCAAGAGCUGCUUUCUUAAACGGAAAUUGAGUCCUAUUUUGUGGGAAAUUAGUUUUGCAGACUUUCUGAAAAAAAAAAAAAUCUAAAACUUUUGUUCAGCAGCUGCUCCACUUUUCCCUGCAGUUUCAGGCUGAGCUGGAACCUGCAGCAGUCUUUCGACGGACUUCUGUAGCCUCGCUUGGUACUUUACGUUGGAGGCUAAAAGCACCAUCUUCCCGAGCAAUGCCAGAAUGACCCAGACCUGAACUCAGUGAAGACAACAGGCAUCUUUCCAUUACUUUAUGACAAAGGAUUGGAAACCAAGUCUCCCUUUGGGAUGAGAAGUGAAUUGCAUGACUUCCAACCAGAAAAGCUACAAUCUGCAUCAGGAUGCUUGACUGUCCCAGCGCACCCAAGUUUCUGAGUAUUUGUACAAAAGCUGCAGAUUUGCUGUGUCAGCAUGUUAGGCAGCAAUGCUUCUAAAGACAAGAAAUAAAAUGUUUCUCUGAUUCAGUGUCAACAGUAUUUACAUGUCAAUCCCGG